rnacentral:rRNA from 1 species
UUGAUCCUGGCUCAGAAUCAACGCUGGCGGCGUGCCUAACACGUGCAAGUCGAACGCGAAAGGGGAGCAAUCCCUGAGUAGAGUGGCAAACGGGUGAGUUACACGUGGGUGACCUGCCUUCGAGUGGGGGAUAACGUCCCGAAAGGGACUCUAAUACCGCAUGACAUCCUGUCCCUAGACGGACGGAGAUCAAAGCUAGUGAUCGCAAGACCUGGCGCUUGAAGAGGGGCCCGCGCCUGAUUAGCUAGUUGGUGAGGUAACGGCUCACCAAGGCUACGAUCAGUAUCCGGCCUGAGAGGUCGGACGGACACACUGGGACUGAGACACGGCCCAGACUCCUACGGGAGGCUGCAGUGGGGAAUUGUUCGCAAUGGGCGCAAGCCUGACGACGCAACGCCGUGUGGAGGAUGAAGAUCUUCGGGUCGUAAACUCCUGUCGAAUGGGAAGAAUGUUUCGUGGAUGAAUAAGCCGCGAAGGUGACGGUACCAUUAAAGGAAGCUCCGGCUAACUCCGUGCCAGCAGCCGCGGUAAUAAGGU